AUGCUCACUGAGGCAACACAUGUGCUAAAAUUGGACCGGUACAGAGAUUGCAUGGCCCCUGUGCAAGGAUGACACAUAAAUUUGUGAAGCGUCCCAUAUUUUU
ensembl:snRNA U6 U6 spliceosomal RNA